rnacentral:tRNA from 1 species
GACCCUGAAGUGUUAUAAUAAUAGACUGCAAAUCUGAAGAAGUGGAUUGAGUUCCACCGGGGUCU